GCCACCUCUAGCUCGACGGGGCGAAAAGCGGAGACCUUCGCCGCCGGGGUGGUACUUCAUGAGAAGG
rnacentral:sRNA from 1 species